rnacentral:lncRNA from 1 species
GUUGGAUCAGCUGGAACAGGGUUAACAGGCCCAGGAUUAGGUGUUGGAUCAACAGGUGUAGUUGUAGGUGUUGAAUCAACAGGCGUUGGAGUUACAGGUGCAGCAUCUUCUUUAGCUACAUCAUCCUUAUCAUUAUUACCAAAAUUUGCCCACAGAUCAUGCACUGCCUUUGCCCUUCUUAUCAUUGCCUCCUUAACUUGCUU